GAACCUCUCAAAGGGUUUUUGGUUUUAAAACCCUUUGGAUUUGGGUCUUGCCGUGAAAUUCUAUCUUGGCUCACCUUGAAAGCAUUAGCAAAGCUUUUCAGCACUUGAAAGUCUUUUUGGAAUGAUGGGCGUUGUUAAUUUGGUCAGGCCUCCUUGAGAGGAAUCUUCAUACGUCUCAGUCAUCAAAAGUCUCAGUGAUUUUGAAACUUGCUUCCAAUGAUCCUUAUAAAGGAUAAAGGCCCCCUUCCUGGCCUUUUUCAAUGUAU
rnacentral:misc_RNA from 1 species